CGUACACUCCUACGGGAGGCAGCAGUGGGGAAUAUUGGACAAUGGGCGCAAGCCUGAUCCAGCCAUGCCGCGUGAGUGAUGAAGGCCCUAGGGUUGUAAAGCUCUUUUGUGCGGGAAGAUAAUGACGGUACCGCAAGAAUAAGCCCCGGCUAACUUCGUGCCAGCAGCCGCGGUAAUACGAAGGGGGCUAGCGUUGCUCGGAAUCACUGGGCGUAAAGGGUGCGUAGGCGGGUCUUUAAGUCAGGGGUGAAAUCCUGGAGCUCAACUCCAGAACUGCCUUUGAUACUGAAGAUCUUGAGUUCGGGAGAGGUGAGUGGAACUGCGAGUGUAGAGGUGAAAUUCGUAGAUAUUCGCAAGAACACCAGUGGCGAAGGCGGCUCACUGGCCCGAUACUGACGCUGAGGCACGAAAGCGUGGGGAGCAAACAGGAUUAGAAACCCUAGUAGUCCCAUGAU
rnacentral:rRNA from 1 species